rnacentral:lncRNA from 1 species
GGAAGAAAGAAGGUGUCGGUGCCCAGAAAUAGCUGCCCCGCGCCGGGCUGCGGCGGUAAAGGGGGGGGGGGGGGGGGCUGGGCGGGAGACCGCGGGCGCAGCGGGUCCUUCUGAGGCCCUGAGUGGUCAGAUUUUUCUUUUCUGGGCAAAGAAGAUGCCUACGCUGCCCUGUGCUUUGGUUUUGUUUGCUUUGGUGGAAUUCAAUGACUUUAUCCACAAGAGUCAUCAAAUACCUUGGCAUCUCAUAGAAAUCUCCGCGACCUUUCAGUCCGCCUUUCCCUAACGUCCGUGUAAGAUGGUCCCGUCCCCGACACCCCUCGUCCACGGCCAGCGCUGUGGGGUUGAUUAAAAUGCAGCAACCCCCAUUCAUUAACCGAGGGUGAUGAUUGCAGCGGUCAACGGGGGCCUGGUUACCCAGGUACCAGAACAUCAGGUUUAUUUACGUAUUGGAUUGUUUAAGGCUUACUAUUAAAAAGAAGAUUUUACUCUGUAAAACCACUUGUUGGGUUUCUUCCUUAAGAAGGCCAAAAUUCUGGGAGCCUGAAAGCUAACAGCUCACCACGAAGCAGUCGUUCUGGUUCACUCCCUCACUGCCAUCUGUCACCCUCUCCCGCAGCUUACAGAGCCCUGAAGUUUCGAAAAUGUUUGCAAAUCAAACUAAAUUUAAAUGUGAUCAUUAGAUAUACACAACACCAAGUGGUACAUCUGCAGAGAUAAUUUGAAAUUCCUGAUUUCAAGAGAGCAAAUGAGUGUUUACUGAGGAAUAAUUAAAUCAGAAUUUCAUAUGAGCACCAACCAUCCUUCUGUUAGUUCCUAUUCAUUUUGAAUCAUUCUCAGAUGCUCAUUCUCCGCCCUCGGUACCUAGAGUGUCGCUGCUCCCAGAAGGUAAAGACUCCUUAGGACAGGAGAGCGCCACAGCUGGCCUGCAUGAAGUAGAUCCCUGCCACACGGAGCAAGUAUUUAUUUAAACUAACAUCCUCUGAAGUUGACCAUUACAGAUCCAUGCUACAUUUUAACCUUUGUUAGGGGUAUGGAAUUUAUAGGAUUCUCACAUACUGUACUCAUACUUGAAUGUCUUUCCAUGUUUUGCCUACUGGCAAAUACGUUGCCCUAUUUUCAGUUGUUCUAACACAUUUUGAAUGUCUCUUUUCCUGAAAGUGAUUAGAUUACCCUUGAUCGCUGCUACUUAAUUUGACCUAACACCUAAAAAGUUCAGCUUCUCAGUUAACAAAAAAAAACAAAAAAAAACAAAACAAACUUUACUUUUCAAAGGAGAUGAUCGUUGAAAAGGAGACAUUUUUGUUUUGGUAAUUUUUAAAUGAUGUGGAAAUCCAACAAUAGUCCUCUUAUUGAUCACUUACUCUAUUCUUUAGGUAAUUUCGUUUUCUUUUUGUCUGCAGGUAAUGUAAGUCAUAAUGUAUCAAAUGCCUUUUUAUGCAGCCUCUGUCUCCAAGGAUUAGCUUUCACUCAAUCGUGCAAAGGAGGCAAUAGUCCCUUUUCUUGCUGUAUGGCUAGGUGGGUUGAGGAGUCUUGAUACCCUAAAAGUAUCUUGUACGGUCAGUGGCCUUGCAUCUAGAAGGGCUGGAUUUUCCCUAUCAGAGACAUUUCUGGAAAGUUAUGAUCUGUCAUGUUCCACUUCAAGGACUAUAAUACUUCAGGGUCUAGCAGUUUUACGUGCAACACAUGCCCCAAAAUAAAAUGCCAAUGUGAAACUUUUUUUUUUUUUUUUUUACUUUCAGUAAAGUGAGAUGGCUAAGUCAAAGUUAAACUUGGGGUAAUAAAUUCUAAGCUCUUGGAAGGAGUAACAGGCGAACUACCCUGUGUCUGCAUCACAUCUUUGAUGUCCAAGUGAGGUCCUAAGGACCAGCAGAGAGGUGGCAAGUCUGCACAAAGGCAGCCAUGCUCCUCUUGUUCCCUUCUAGUAAGAUCUGCUUAGAAUUUGGAGUAAUGAGUUGUUUUCUCCAGAGGUGAGAGCAGUUCAGUUUGUGAGAAUAAAGAACUCUGGCUCAAUGAAGUAAUACAGUUCAGAAAAAGUAAUUGCUCAGAGGUUACUUCUGUUUUUGUCUUGCUUGCUACCAGAUUGGGGUCAGGGUGGGGGGUCCCUCUCCCCCAGGUAUAUAUAUAUAUAGGAAACUGCUGACAAUUAUCCUGAUCUUGGCCUGACCAAAAUGCCUUUUGUGAAUAGAUCACCAGAAGUAAAACCCCAAUGAUGUAUUUCCAUAGUUAAUUUUUUUCAAUUGUCAGUAUACUAUUUAAAAAAAAAAUGGAUGGGAUACAACUCAAUAUUUUUCUAGUCUGGAAUUUUUUUAUUAAUAAUCGGUGCUGUCGGGUCAUGCAUGCUGCAGCUCAAUGUUUCCCUUAUUUGGUUUCACUUUUUGCAAAAAGGGCUACAGUUCACACUGCAGAGUAAGUAUUAAACUUUCUGGUCCCCCCCCCAACUGUGGCCCAAAAGAAUUAAAAUCUUUUAAUAUAAAUAGCAUAUUUAUCAUUCCUCAAUAGUUAAUUAUAGAGUUUGGUACCUUUGUGCCUCAGGGAAGCCACGUGAUAUAACUGGUUAUAGAAUUUCAGGGUUAGGGUUUAAAGAAAGGAGAAAGCCAUUGGGAAAAUGGGCUCCAUUAAGGAGACUAAUGAAUCUGGAUGCAGAAAUAUGCCAGGAACUGGCAUACACAUGAUUGUAAUAGAAUUUAUUUCCAGUAUCAAUAGGGAAAUCUUAAGUUAUUGCAUAUACUGUAUUAGGAAAGUUGAGAACUCUUCAUAAAGCUUCAAUUGCUUUAUUUUUGCUUACAUAAAACUCAAACCCCUGGUUUUUGGAGCUCAGUAUUGUUAUUUGGGCACUUUUGAAAGUUAAAGGGAGCAUGUUUUCUUCUUUUCUCAUAGGUUACAGAAUUGUUACCUGCAGUUCUAUGAUUUUGAUCAACUUUUUAAAAGCCAUUCUGUGCUUUGGAUUGGUGUGAAAGGAUGUAUGAUCGAUCAUAGCAGUCUUCGUCCUGGCUACAAGCUAGUUAUCUUCAGGCAGUUUUGUCUUGUAACAGUGGAAUUUCUGAUAGGCAAACCACAGAACCUUGAUUUUAAGCCAGAUCCAGCUCCAUUCCCUUGGCAGGCGAUCUUCUAUCCCCAUAGUUUAGCCUUCAUGGGCUGAGGGUAUGAAGUUCCUCCUCCAGUGCUGGAAAUAGAGCAUAGCUCUGUUAUCGUUUCUUUAUGACCCAAAGGCCAACGAGACAGCUCCAGGAUUUUUUUUUAGAAGAACGUGUAAGCAUUACUAAAGUAGUAAAAAAAUAAAAAAAAUAAAAAUAAAAGGUUCAGUGUUUCUUUUCAGUGAAACUUAUAUCUUCUCAAGUUUUUGCCCUCAUGAAAAAGCCCUAGAGGAAGAUAGGAAAAAGCAAAUAUUUUUCCAGUUCUACUUAACCAUUUCUAAACAAAAAUACACUUGAUGAAAGGGAAAUUAUUUCUUCUUAGCUGAGAUGACAGAUUGUUUCUCUGUAUUAAAUAGUCUAGAAGUUAAGGAGUGGUCAUAUUUACCAUGUAUAGUGUUACAAGCAGUUAAAUUUUAUGGAUAUAUUUGUAAAGCUGUUCUUUUAUAUUUCAUGUCAAAUUGAAAAGUUUAUUUCUUCACUAUUGUACCUGUGGAAAUACAAGCCAUUUUACAGGAAAAAAAUCUUCAAAAAUUAUUAAAUGGAUCUCAGUA